AAGUUUGCCAAGUAUCUGGAUCCCAAUGCUCAUGGCAGAAUUAACUUCAGAGAUUUCUGCCAUGGAGUGUUUGCAAUCAAAGGCUGUGAGGAGAUCUUGAAAACGGCACUUGGGACCCCCAACAUCAGUGCACAUCCAUACCAGACGGACAAUGGCUACUACUAUCAGGUUUUGACUCACUUUGCAGGGGGACAUGCACUCCUGCUUGUUUCUGUUGGCAGUGUGUCUAGACGCAUUAGGACACUUAAUGGGAAGAGGCAUCUAUUGUUCUCCGAGAUAACAUGGAACGACCUUCCUUUCGUCCGCUUGGUAGUACAGAUUCGGUGCUUGGCUUGUGUGAACUUGAUAGAUGAGAGUACGUGGAGCCAAAAUGCAUCCCUAGCAUGUCAGCUCUCACUCACAUAUACACAACAAUCUAUACUGCCACUGUUUCACAGGCUGCUGCUUGAGUUACAGUUUAAGCCAUGUAAAACAUUAACCGGACACCGGAUGUUUUAAUGGGUGCUGUCAACAUGCUGUAUAUGACUCAAUGGAGCUGUCAGUCAAAGUAGUCUGUGGAUGUCAGUCAGCCAGAG